GACAGAGGUGCCAAGCGUUAGGCGGAAUCACUGGGCUUAAAGCGUGUGUAGGCGGAUUUGUAAGUACCUUGUGAAAUCCCACGGCUCAACCGUGGAACUGCUCGGUAUACUGCUUAUCUUGAGCCACUUAGGGGCUACCGGAACAAAUGGUGGAGCGGUGAAAUGCGUAGAUAUCAUUUGGAACGCCAAUGGUGAAAACAGGUAGCUGGGAGUGUGCUGACGCUGAGACACGAAAGCGUGGGGAGCAAACAGG
rnacentral:rRNA from 1 species